rnacentral:rRNA from 1 species
GACGUAGGGCGCGAGCGUUGUCCGGAUUUAUUGGGCGUAAAGGGCGCGUAGGCGGCUUCGCAAGUGGAAGGUGAAAUCCCUCGGCUUAACCGAGGAACUGCCCUCCAAACUGCUUGGCUUGAGUCCGGGAGAGGUGAGUGGAAUUCCCAGUGUAGCGGUGAAAUGCGUAGAUAUUGGGAGGAACACCAGUGGCGAAGGCGGCUCACUGGACCGGAACUGACGCUGAGGCGCGAAAGCGUGGGGAGCAAACGGG